rnacentral:lncRNA from 1 species
ACCACAUCUCUCCAGUUCGUGUGGCCCAGCAACUUCAAGCCUGUGAUUCACAAUCCUUCUGCACCCAGAUUUUCCUGAAUUGCUGCAUUUUUGCUGUGAUAUCAUCCAGCUCAACCUUCCUGGUCUACAGUGUCCCAUGACCCUUUUCCUGGCAAAGAUGUGGCUUGCCUCCUAUAGCCAGUGAAUCUCUUUAUAGCUCUU